GAAUCCCAAGCAGGCUCUGCACUGAUAGUGCAGAGGCCAGUGUGGGGGCUCGGUCCCACAACUGUGAGAUCAUGACCUGAGCCAAAACCAAGAGUCAGUUGCUCAACCGACUG